rnacentral:lncRNA from 1 species
UUGUGUUCUAGAAGCAUUUUGCAUAAAAUUGAAUUAGAUUAUUAAUUAGAGGUCCUUACAGAGCAAUUUGACCAAUUUUUAAGUCUAUGGACAAAAAUUGGACAUGGAUGGAAUUUUUGGAAAGUUUAGUAGUAAGGGCAUUUUGGUCAUUUGGAUAUUAAAUAAAAUGAUGUAGUAUAGGAAGUUGUAGAUAAAAUGGAAUAAAAACGAGGUAUCGAGACCUCGAAUUCAUAAAC